GAUUUGAUCAUGGCUCAGAUUGAACGCUGGCGGCAUGCCUUACACAUGCAAGUCGAACGGUAACAGGUCUUCGGAUGCUGACGAGUGGCGAACGGGUGAGUAAUACAUCGGAACGUGCCCGAUCGUGGGGGAUAACGAGGCGAAAGCUUUGCUAAUACCGCAUACGAUCUACGGAUGAAAGCGGGGAUCUUCGGACCUCGCGCGGACGGAGCGGCCGAUGGCAGAUUAGGUAGUUGGUGGGAUAAAAGACUUACCAAGCCGACGAUCUGUAGCUGGUCUGAGGGGAUGAUCAGCCACACUGGGACUGAGACACGGCCCAGACUCCUACGGGAGGCAGCAGUGGGAAUUUUGGACAAUGGGCGAAAGCCUGAUCCAGCCAUGCCGCGUGCAGGAUGAAGGCC
rnacentral:rRNA from 1 species